GAUGAACGCUGGCGGCGUGCUUAACACAUGCAAGUCGAACGGGAAAUAUUUCAUUGAGACUUCGGUGGAUUUGAUUUAUUUCUAGUGGCGGACGGGUGAGUAACGCGUGGGUAACCUGCCUUAUACAGGGGGAUAACAGUCAGAAAUGGCUGCAAAAACCCAAAAGGGGAAAGGACCGGAUGGGCCCGGGGUAAAAAAUCCGGUGGGAUAAGAUGGACCCGCGUUGGAUUAGGUAGUUGGUGGGGUAACGGCCCACCAAGGCGACGAUCCAUAGCCGGCCUGAGAGGGUGAACGGCCACAUUGGGACUGAGACACGGCCCAGACUCCUACGGGAGGCAGCAGUGGGGAAUAUUGCACAAUGGGGGAAACCCUGAUGCAGCGACGCCGCGUGAAGGAAGAAGUAUCUCGGUAUGUAAACUUCUAUCAGCAGGGAAGAUAGUGACGGUACCUGACUAAGAAGCCCCGGCUAACUACGUG
rnacentral:rRNA from 1 species